rnacentral:rRNA from 1 species
UACGUAGGGUGCAAGCGUUGUCCGGAAUUAUUGGGCGUAAAGCGUGCGCAGGCGGUUAUGCAAGACAGAGGUGAAAUCCCCGGGCUCAACCUGGGAAUGGCAUUCGGGACUGCAAGGCUGGAGUGCGGCAGAGGAGACUGGAAUUCCUGGUGUAGCAGUGAAAUGCGUAGAUAUCAGGAGGAAUACCGAUGGCGAAGGCAGGUCUCUGGGCUGACACUGACGCUCAUGCACGAAAGCGUGGGGAGCAAACAGG